CCUACGGGUGGCUGCAGUGAGGAAUAUUGGUCAAUGGGCGCGAGCCUGAACCAGCCAAGUAGCGUGAAGGAUGACUGCCCUACGGGUUGUAAACUGCUUUUAUAAAGGAAUAAAGUGAGGCACGUGUGCCUUUUUGUAUGUACGUUAUGAAUAAGGAUCGGCUAACUCCGUGCCAGCAGCCGCGGUAAUACGGAGGAUCCGAGCGUUAUCCGGAUUUAUUGGGUUUAAAGGGAGCGUAGAGGGGUUGUUAAGUCAGUUGUGAAAGUUGGCGGCUCAACCGUAGAAUUGCCAUUGAUACUGGCAGCCUUUAGUACAGUUGCGGUAGGCGGACUUCGUGGUGUAGCGGUGAAAUGCUUAGCUCUCACG
rnacentral:rRNA from 1 species